rnacentral:rRNA from 1 species
UACGUAGGGUGCAAGCGUUGUCCGGAAUUAUUGGGCGUAAAGAGCUCGUAGGCGGUUUGUCGCGUCUGCUGUGAAAAUCCGGGGCUCAACCCCGGACUGCAGUGGGUACGGGCAGACUAGAGUGUGGUAGGGGAGACUGGAAUUCCUGGUGUAGCGGUGAAAUGCGCAGAUAUCAGGAGGAACACCGGUGGCGAAGGCGGGUCUCUGGGCCGGUACCGACGCUGAGGAGCGAAAGCGUGGGGAGCGAACAGG